rnacentral:rRNA from 1 species
CAGUAGCCGCGGGAAUACGUAGGUGGCAAGCGUUGUCCGGAAUUAUUGGGCGUAAAGGGCUCGCAGGCGGUUUCUUAAGUCUGAUGUGAAAGCCCCCGGCUCAACCGGGGAGGGUCAUUGGAAACUGGGAAACUUGAGUGCAGAAGAGGAGAGUGGAAUUCCACGUGUAGCGGUGAAAUGCGUAGAGAUGUGGAGGAACACCAGUGGCGAAGGCGGCUCUCUGGUCUGUAACUGACGCUGAGGAGCGAAAGCGUGGGGAGCGAACAGGAUUAGAUACCCGCGUAGUCCCUGUCUCUUAUAC